UCCUACGGGACGCAGCAGUGAGGAAUAUUGGUCAAUGGGCGCGAGCCUGAACCAGCCAAGUCGCGUGAGGGAAGACGGUCCUAUGGAUUGUAAACCUCUUUUGUCGGGGAGCAAAAGACGCCACGCGUGGCGUUCCGAGAGUACCCGAAGAAAAAGCAUCGGCUAACUCCGUGCCAGCAGCCGCGGUAAUACGGAGGAUGCGAGCGUUAUCCGGAUUUAUUGGGUUUAAGGGGUGCGCAGGCGGAAGAUCAAGUCAGCGGUAAAAUUGAGAGGCUCAACCCCUUCGAGCCGUUGAAACUGGUUUU
rnacentral:rRNA from 1 species